rnacentral:misc_RNA from 1 species
UUGCCUUGUGUCAUACCAUUCAGGUCCGGCAAUCUUUAUUGCUUUUGUUGUAUAACUCAUAUUUAUAAUAUUUUAAAAUGCAUACCGACUUUGUUUGUUUGAUUUCAUCAAGUACAGAAGGAGAAUAGAAAAGUUGAAAUCUAAUUACAUGCUAAUCUUCAUGAUUAUAGCAUUCAUCAGUCUACCUCUAUGCUAAGCAAUUCGGACAAGCAAUAGGCCACAAACUCUGCAUAUGCAUCAUGUUGUGUUACAUAUUAUAGAAGGAGGUAUAGGAAUAAGGAUAGAAAGUGAUGUA